rnacentral:rRNA from 1 species
CCUACGGGGGGCUGCAGUGGGGAAUAUUGGACAAUGGGGGCAACCCUGAUCCAGCCAUGCCGCGUGUGUGAAGAAGGCCCUCGGGUUGUAAAGCACUUUCAGUGAGGAAGAACGCCUGGUGGUUAAUACCCAUCAGGAAAGACAUCACUCACAGAAGAAGCACCGGCUAACUCCGUGCCAGCAGCCGCGGUAAUACGGAGGGUGCGAGCGUUAAUCGGAAUUACUGGGCGUAAAGCGCGCGUAGGUGGCUUGAUAAGCCGGUUGUGAAAGCCCCGGGCUCAACCUGGGAACGGCAUCCGGAACUGUCAAGCUAGAGUGCAGGAGAGGAAGGUAGAUUUCCCGGUGUAGCGGUGAAAUGCGUAGAGAUCGGGAGGAAUACCAGUGGCGAAGGCGGCCUUCUGGACUGACACUGACACUGAGGUGCGAAAGCGUGGGUAGCAAACAGGAUUAGAUACCCGAGUAGUC